rnacentral:rRNA from 1 species
GAUUGGCGGAGCGGUGAGUCACACGUGAGUAUCCUGCCCUGUACUCAGGGAUAAUCCUAGAAAACGGGGUCUGUUACUGAAUAUUGACUCACCACCGCGUGGUGGUUGGUUGAAAGAUUGAUGGGCAUCGGGAUAGACUCACUGUGUGUAUGCGCCUGAUGGUGAGGUAAUGGCUCACCAAGGCGACGACGGGUAGCCGGCCUGAGAGGGUGACCGGCCACACUGGGACUGAGACACGGCCCAGACUCCUACGGGAGGCAGCAGUGGGGAAUAUUGCACAAUGGGCGAAAGCCUGAUGCAGCGACGCCGCGUGAGGGAUGACGGCCUUCGGGUUGUAAACCUCUUUCAGUAGGGAACAAGGCCAGUGUUUAGCUGGUUGAGGGUACUUGCAGAAGAAGCGCCGGCUAACUACGUGCCAGCAGCCGCGGUAAUACGUAGGGCGCAAGCGUUAUCCGGAAUUAUUGGGCGUAAAGAGCUCGUAGGCGGUUUGUCGCGUCUGCCGUGAAAGUCCGGGGCUCAACCCCGGAUCUGCGGUGGGUACGGGCAGACUAAAGUUAUGUAGGGGAGACUGGAAUUCCUGGUGUUACCGGUGAAA